UACAGAGGGUGCGAGCGUUAAUCGGAAUUACUGGGCGUAAAGCGCACGUAGUCGGCUUUGCAAGUCGGGUGUGAAAUCCCCGGGCUCAACCUGGGAACUGCAUCCGAGACUGCAUUGCUAGAGUAUGGGAGAGGGAAGCGGAAUUUCUGGUGUAGCAGUGAAAUGCGUAGAUAUCAGAAGGAACAUCGGUGGCGAAGGCGGCUUCCUGGACCAAUACUGACGAUCAGGUGCGAAAGCGUGGGGAGCAAACAGG
rnacentral:rRNA from 1 species